GUAAAAGUGGUACACAUCUCUGCAAUCAGUUCACAAAAUUUAUUCAAAGUUAUUUUGAAAAUAUUGGUAAACUCUGGAACAAGAAAGAUGUCAUUUCAAAGAAGAGCCAGUCAGAAUAAAUCCAAUUUUUGUAAAUACCACAAACAAGAAAAUCGGAGCCGCAGUUAGUCGUUUCCUGACAAAUUCAAGGGACGGGAUGGUGG